rnacentral:lncRNA from 1 species
AUUUGAGUCCCAGGAGACUUUUAUCUUUUCAUUUUUGUUAUACAUUUUAUCUUUAUAUAUGAAAAAUGAGAGUUUGAAGACAACAAAAUCUUUAAUACCUAUGGAAACCCUGGCACAUACCUGUGGGAAAAGAAUCCUUUCAUUUUAUCACUAAACAUAACCCUAGGUUAAAAUCAUCAUCAUACAUAGUUAUAGUAUCUAUAUAUACAUAAAUAUGUAUGUAUAUGUGAUGUAUUUAUGCACAUGUUUAUAUGCUUAUAUGCAAACAUGGCAUAAAUAUGUACAUGCAUAUAUACAUACAAGGGUAGAUUCCUCUCUACAUAUAAGGUGAAUUCUAUUGUAAUGAAUAUUAAGUUAUACAUAUAUGCAGUAGAUAAAGUAUACAAAUAAGGCAUAACCCAGUGUAUCUGCAGAGUCCUCAUAUUUGCUUCCCAUAUGAGAACCUCUGAGUCCUCUUCUGUCUUCUGUGUUAUGCUACCAUUUUCCUUUUCUAUUAAUGGGUGAAUGUCUCUCAUGCAAAGGAAGGCACCUUUGCUGGUGACAGGCGGGGGCGGCGGCUGUGGUGGGGGGCUGCAGAAAGUAGGCGUUAUUUUUGAGACUCCUGUGCAGUCGGUUCUCCAUGGGAUCCUCAGUUGCACAGGCCAUCAGCUCUGACUGUAACUAUGGCUCCCACUUCUGGCUCGUCCAUCUCACCUUCAAUUCUCCUUGAGCCUCAGGGCUGCUCCUCCGUGAUUGCCUCCUAUUACUGGUCUCUUGUAGUUUCCAUUUCGCUUCUUGAUGAACCUGCACAAGUAGACCCGUAGGCUGAAAUGUUAGGGGAUGCUGUGUGUUUGCCCCACACUGGGCGGGGCAGUCAGAAGGCUCUUGAUAAACAUUUGUAUUGGAUGAAAAAAAAAAAAAAAAAAAGAAUGAAACCUUAAUUGAGUGACUCACCUGAACAAAACCAGGGAAAGCCUCAGACAGACUUGAAGCUCUGUGGUUCUGCCUCUUUAGGGUUUGCUUCCUAAAUCCAGCACCUGCUGUCUCCACCUCUGCACCCUGGGUGGUGGUGGGACGGAGCCGCUGAUACUCUUUACUUUUUGGCUUCAUUUUUUUAAAUUGAGAUGUAGGUGGUUUACAAGGUCGAGUUAGUUUCAGGUGCAUGAAAGAUUCAGUCAUAUAUGAAUACAUAUACACACAUACAUACAUACACACGAAUAUGUAUACAUACAUACACACACAUAUAUAUCCAUACACACUCAUAUAUACACAUACACUCAUUAUAUGUAUUUUAUAUAUACAUUGUAAAUAUAAUAUAUAUAGUAUAAAUGUGUGUAUAUAUAUUACAUAUAUAUAUAGUAUUUUCCAGAUUCUUCUCCCUUAUAGGCUAUUCCAAAAUUUUUAGUAUAGUUCCCUGUGCUCUACAGUAGAUCUUUGUUAGUUAUCUAUUUUAUAUAUAGUAGAGUGUAUAUGUUCAUUCUAACUUCUAAUUUAUCCCUCCUCCACUUCUCCCUUUGGUACCCACAAAUUUGUUUUCUUUUUCUACAUGCAAAUCAUCCCCUUUCAAGGCCUAAUUCAGACGCCACUUCCUAGAUGCUCUGGAGAUUGUCCUUCCUGACCACCAUAAACCAAUCUCAUUUAUCUUGGAAACAGUCACAGCCCUUCUUGAGAAGCAACGUUUUUGCAUUGAUUACAUUGAAACUGUUUUAAGUAAAAAUCGCCAGUAUCCAGAAUAUGUGCCCCCAUCCUAAAAACUCCUUAAAGGAAAGAUUUAAACCUGUACCAAGCAUAUCCCUAGUGAGAUAUCUUCCUUGUACGAAGCAUAACCCUAGUGAGAAGGAAAACUUGAAGCAUUUCUCUCCAUUGGUAAAAAGGAUGCCCAGAUGUUAACCAGAGGAAGGGUAGUGACAAUUAUUUAAGUAACAUUAACCACAGUUCCUUCUUUCUUCACACGUGAUGAAGGAGCACAGUUGCCCAUAUCAUUCCAUAAGAUCACUGGAUCCCUUUUCUGUUCCCAGAGCCCUCAAAAAAUUGUGUGGAUGCCAACCCUAUGUUUGUUUCUUAAUCUGUGGAGGUCAACUAGCGCUGCAGGGAUGUGUGUCUACAGCUCAGUGCUCAGGUGGACUGUGAUACUAGGGAGCUCUGAGGGUCAGCGCACAACUGCAAAUGGACUGAUUUGCAGCCAAUUACAAUGGACUGUUAAUUUAGCUGUUCAGAUGAUGAGACAACAAAGCUUUGCUCUAAGCCAUUUGAUUCUAUUGAUCUGUGCACAUACACCCUGAGACCCUCCCCCACCCCUGGCGGUAGUGACGUGGAUGCCAUUGACUGAGUCAGGCCUCUCAUGUCAAAAUUUGGGUUGCCCAGCAGAACACUGCAUAGUUUCCUGCCUGGCCAAGGUGCACUUUAGAAGGACUUUUAAAAUAGGUCCAUGUAAUGAAUACAUUUUAAAGCUGAAAAAUGAUUAUCUAUGAAAUGUGGAGAUUCAUCACUCUAAGCAAUAACCAAAUUAUUAAUUUAUUUAAUAAAAGACAUGGUUAUUUGGACUAGAUUAUAUUUUUAUUAGUUAAAUAUGCAUUAAAUUUAUCCACUGAACAAUGAGUUCCCAAUACUAUAAUUUUGGGGGAUCUUUUUUCAAUAAGCUAAAGUUAAUAAAGAGGGAUUCUAAUAUUCUAGAACACUUACUUCCUUCUUAAUGAUUUCUGUGCUGGGGCAAAAGACAAAAGGUAUAGGUGGCCGGAAAUGACAGCAAGAGCUAGGGUUAUCUUCUGUGUUCUCUGGGGGCUCACAUUUCUGAGCAGUCUCUGCACCUAAUAGGUGCUUCAUGAAGAUUUGUUAAUAAACUAAUGCUUCAUAAUUUGCAUAUGUAAACCUUCUAAGAAACCAAAUGUUUUGAAUAUAGACUAAAAUUAAUUUUACUGCAAUUUCCAGGAAAUUCUUUACAUACUCCAGGAAAUAGGCUGAGGCUAUGAUGCACGUGAUGAAAACUUUGUCUUGAAAUUAUUUUCCAAAUGUAAUUGGCUCUGAAACUGAUAUCAUCUCCUCAUCAAAGUGUAACAAUAAUGUUUGGGCAUAUUAAUGUGUUAUAUGAACAUAUAAUGUGGCAUAUUAAUGUAUUUAACACAACACCUUACCUAUUUCAUGUAUUAUAUUCUGACAUAAACAAAUGGCUUUAUGGAAUUAUACAAUCGUUAUUGGUUAUUUAAUCAGUAAUACAUUAUGAGAAACGUUUAAGAACUUUAGAGAGAGUGCGCUGACUUUCCUGUGACUAUACUUUUUGCUUCACCCUGUAUGUGGAACACGUAAAUAGACGUGGCUCAAAGCCUGAGACAGCUGCUGUAUAUUCUGGAAUUAUUUUGUUGUAUCUGAUGAAAUUCUGUGACAAUCCCAGACGUUGUCAAGCAACGGUAUGAUUACUCCAAAUGCAUUUUCUCAAAGACUGCAUGUCAGGGGCUUAUCUGGGCUGUUUUUAUCUUGAAUUACGGAGGAUUCUUGAAUCUCUUAACACUGUGUCCUUCUCUCUUGAAACGUGUGAAUUGAAGUUAUUAUAGCUCCGGAGACCCUUUUAGAGACACGGCAAAGAUGCUCACCAGAGAUCUGAACUUUGAUGAACACGUUUCUCUAUGGUUUCUGGGAUGAGCUAACACCUUCAUUGAUGUUUGGUCAUUAUUGUUAGAAUAAGAAGCAAAUCAGAAAGCUUCUGGUACUUAUUUUUAGAAACUCCCUUGCUAUCUGUAGGAAGAAUACAGAGAACAAGGCUUAUGUAGGCCAUAAAUUAAACUUUUGUUUUAAGAUAGGGUUGGUGACAGUUUUAUGUUCUUCAAAAUUUCUUUUCAGAAUCCUAGUAAUUUUUUUCCUCUUCAUAGCACAGAAUCUGGGUAGGGGGGAUUUGUGUAUUUACUUUUUAACAGAAAUAUGUCUCAGCAUUUCCUGUUUGAUUUUCUUCUAAGUACAUUUUUUCCUUGACUACAUAUAUUCCUAAGACCAAAACAUGCAGUAUUUCUUCAGUCUAUGAAUUAAUCAAUGAAGCUUAUUUCAGUGAUUUGGAGAGAUUACCUUAUUUUUGGAAAUAAUUUUUCUCAACUAUGUAAAUCACUCAUAAAUAUAACAUCUGCUGGAGGGAUCUUAAAAGCAGGGUGAAAUCUUGUUCCUUUUGGAAUCCAAUUUUGACGUAAGCUUUGACAGCUAAAUAAGACAAUGCUCAAUUUUUAGGGGGAGAGUUGUCAUUCUUAGAAUUUUGUGAUGCAGUGGAUGGUUUAAUAUGUUCUAUUCUGACAUAAGCAAUAUCACCUGCUUCUCAAGGGUGUAAUAAAGCAGACUGAUGAUGUAUCAAUGGUAAUAACUGCCUCAUAAAAAGUGGGAUAUUAGAAAUGUGGUUUCCUCUCUAAGAAUAUCCAUAAAAAUAUACAAGAACACACACUCUAGAUCUUUCCAAGCUACUUUGGGAAAAAAGACAAUUUCUUUAGUAAUUUUCCUGUUGGGUAUUAAUUUUACAGGUAAUUAUUUUAAUGGACUGAAGAGUGCAGAGUAAAUUAGGCGUCUUUUUGUGGUGAUCUAGGGAAUUCUUCCACAUAGGCAUGAGUUAGGUGAGGGGCCUCCACGCAUUGGGUUUUAAUGGAAAGCAACAGGAUCCCAAAUAGAAUGAAGACCAUCCCCUGACAUUUAGAGCGCUUCCCAUGUGAAAUACAGACUUCGUGGUCCUGUCUCACUUCAAAAUGGAGGAAAGGCAGAAACGGGGCAGCUGUGUUUAUCUCCUUUGCAUACACAUGGAGCGCCCAUCUCCAUCGAAGGAAUUAAAUGGUUUAUUUCUCAUCGUGGACAAUUCCUCUCCAGCUGCGUGGGAAUUUUGGUCAUGUCCAUGUCUUGUAUAAAUGACAGGAUGUAUAAAACGAUGCCAUAUCUUGGUCUUUUGCUGUAAUAUUAGGAAGAAGAUGUUUCAUUUUCUUUUCAUUUUAUUUGCGUUUCUACACACUCAGCUUAUAAAUUGCAUGGCUUAUUCUAAAGCUUCUAACAGAAAAUCUAUCAAGAAAAACAGUUUGUUAGGGAAUAGUUCUUUUAUUCACAGAUUAGUGCAGGUGAUCUCACUGUGUAUUAGAAAAAAAAAUCAUACCUUUUCUUAUUGCUCUGCAAAACCUCUUAUUUUAAGUCCCAUUCUUAAUAUAAAAUCACACGCUGGAAAGGGAUUAGAAGAUUUAAAGGAAACAAAGAAAAGAAUAAGUACAUAUCUUUUCUGAUUUUAAUGAUUUAAUGAGCCAAAAGAAAUUCUUUCCACAUUAAAAAACACUAUAAAAGAGGAGUUCUCAUUGUGGUGCAGUGGCUAACAAAUCCGACUAGGAACUGUGAGGUUGCGGGUUUGAUCCCUGGCCUUGCUCAGUGGGUUAAGGAUCCAGUGUUGCCGUGAGCUGUGGUGUAGGUCACAGAUUCAGCUCGGGUCCCAUGUUGCUGUGGCUCUGGCGUAGGCCAGUGGCUACAGCUCUGAUUAGAUCCCUAGCCUGGUAACCUCCAUAUGGCGCAGGAGUGG